rnacentral:lncRNA from 1 species
GUUUGAUUUGCCCUGGCUCAGAUUUGCACCCGUCCAACGCCUUUUCUUCUAUGAAAUCUCCAACUCCUUUGACACCGCCAUACUCGUUUCAAAACUCAAAGCCUCCCUCUCUGUCGCCCUCCAACAAUUCCUACCACUAGCAGGGAACCUCAAAUGGCCCCAAGACUCCCCCAAGCCCAUUCUCAGUUAUGUCCAAGGCGACGCCGUUUCACUCACCAUAGCCGAGUCUGAUGCCGAUUUCCAUCAUCUUUCAAGCCGUAGCAACUUUGUUGAGGCCAAAGAGUACCAUUCUCUCGUACCCCAAUUGACAACCUCUCACGAAAAGGCGGCAGCCGUGGCGUUCCAAGUCACCAUCUUUUCCAACGGCAAUGGCUUCUCCAUUGGCACAUCCAUGCACCAUGCCAUCCUGGACGGCAAGUCUUCAACCAUGUUUGUGAAAUCAUGGGCUCACAUUUGUAAACAUCUUGGUGAUGAUCCAUCUGGUUCAGCUCUACCAGAUCAGCUGAAACCAUUUUUUGACAGAAGGGUCGUCCAAGACCCGGCCGGGCUCGAACCAAUUUUCUUGAACCAGCUUCAGAAUCUGGACGGACCCAACAACAAGAGCUUGAUGGUUACCCAGUUUAAAUCUCCACCACCAGACGCGGUUCGUGGCAUCUUUGUAAUCACACGACCCGAAAUAGAAGCAAUGAAGCAAUGGGUUUCGACCAAAAUGGCAGAGAUGAUCAAGAAUGAAAAACAAUCUGAUCGUCCUCAUUUGUCAACAUUUUCUGUAACAUGUGCUUAUACAUGGGUUUGCUUACUCAAGGCAGAGGAAAAACAGACCGAUAAGCCAGUUAUGAUGGGCUUCACUCUGGACUGCAGGCCUCGCUUUGACCCUCCGAUACCUGCAAACUAUUUUGGGAACUGCAUAGCCGGCCGUGCAAUAGUUGCAGAGAGAAAAGGGCUUCUUGGAGAAGAUGGGUUGACCGUGGCGGUCAACGAAAUCAGUGAAGCCAUAAAAAGCGCGGACAGUGAUAGGAUUUUGAAAGGGGCAGAGACUUUGGUUCCAGUACUUUAUCCUGCUAUGAGGAGUGAAGAGAGAGUUAUGGGUGUUGCUGGUUCACCUAGGUUUGGGAUUUAUGAUACAGAUUUUGGAUGGGGAAGGCCAAGCAAGGUGGAGGUGGUUUCGAUCGAAGAGACAGGAGCCAUGUCCCUGGCAGAGUCUAGGGAUGGUAUUGCUGGAGAUUUUGAGGUUGGUUUGGUUUUGGAAAAACAUCAUAUGCAAGCUUUUGCUUCUCUGUUUGCUAAAGGACUUCAAGACCUUUGAAUCCACGCAUGAAAUUGUUAAUUUGUUGCAGAGUUUUAAUGUUUUCGCGUUGUUUUUGGGGGAUGAAUAAUUUGAUCGAUGUUCAAAUUUUUUGUUUUUUUGGGAUGUUUUUUUGCAAUGGUCUGUUUCUUUCAUUUUGUUGGGCCAAAUUACAACUACAAAAGGAAGAGCCAAGUUUUAUUACAAACCAAUGUCGCACGCAUUGUUCAGGUUUAUUGUUUUGAACAAAAGAAGUCGUGAUUCUCAUGGCUUGAGAUUAUUGUUUUUAGUAUUGAAAUUUAAGAAACGCAAGUUUUUGCUGUAAAUAAGAGGGAGGCUCAAUAAAUUUUAAAAGAAAAUUAAUCUAUUAAUAUUGAAGUUUUAUGUAUACUCAUGAGCUUUUACUUUUUAUUGAUUGAACGGGUCAUGGCUUGAGAUAAUUGUUUGUAGUAUUGGGGGUGAACGUGAACCCGGAAGAAAAGAAAGAAAAGAUGGGCUGGUUUUGAAUGGGGCAUGAAAGGUUUUGAUUUAACACGAGGAGUAAUUUUCAGUGGAGGAGUUGUAACUUGUAAUGUGGCCUCACAUCACAACUCUCUAAUGCUAUUUAAACAAAAAGUAAUCUUCGUCCAAAAAAAAAAAGAAGAAAGUAAUCUAAUUCUAAAUAUAUAAUGUUCUAAAGCUUCUAACUUCGAUCUCUAUUUGGCAAUGGCAGACCCAACAAGCUCAGUUAAAGUAGUUGAAGUUUGCAAGGUGGCUCUUCCUCCUCCACCCUCACCUAGGUCAUUCGCAUCCCCAAGUUCCUUUCCUCUUACCUUCUUCGACAUCCGUUGGUUAAGGUUUGCGCCGGUCCAGUGCCUCUAUUUAUGCGAAAUGCCUACUUCCUCUGCAACACAACUCUUCUUUGAUACUGUACUGGCCCCACAACUCAAAACCUUACUCUUUAACACCCUCCAACACUAUCUACCUCUAGCAAGACACCUGACUUGGCCUCAAAACUCCCAAAAACCCGUUCUUAGCUAUGUCCAAGGCGACACCUUUUCACUCACAAUAGCAGAGUCUGGUUUUGACUUCUACCUCAUGAACAAGCUGCAGUGAUGGCAUUGUAGAUCACUGUCUUUCCCAACUGUGGCCUUUCGAUUGGGACCUCCAUGCACCACACAAUCCUAUAUGGCAAGACUUCAACGUUGUUUGCGAAAUCUUGGGCUCACAUUUGCAAACAUGGUGAUCAAUCUAAUUCAUUGCUACUUGAUCAUUUGAAACAAUUUUAUGAUACAAGAGUUAUUCAGGAUCCAGCUGAGCUGAGAGCUAAGAGCAAUCUACUAGAACCUGUAUCGAAAUAAGGACGGUCCCAACAAUAGAAGCUUAAUGUUUUGGGAGAGGAAAGCCCCACCAGGCUCCAUCAGAGGCACCUUUCAAAUCACAACAGCAGAUAUAGAAACACCGAGGCAAUUGUUGAAGGCUAAAUUGGCAGAGCAGAAACAACAAGAUAUUCGUUUAGUUCAUGUGUCAACUUUCACUCUAGCAUGUGCCUAGACAUGGGUUUGCAUAAUCAAGGCAGAGGACUGCAGGUCUAGCUUGGAUCCUCCUGUAACUCAAAAACUAUUUUGGGAACUGCAUUGUCGAAACAAAAGCCUUGUUUGGAGAUAACGGGUUGGUUGUGGCUGUGAAUGCAAAUAGUGAAGCUAUAAGAAGUUUGGAGAAGGGGGUUUUGGAUGGGGCAGAGAAUUGGGUUUCAAGAGUGUUUGCUGUGAGCAGUGAGAAAAUGCUUAUGCUUGCCGGUUCACAUCGGUUUGGGGUUUAAUUUUGGACGGGGAAGACCAAAGAAGGUUGAGUUUGUUUCCAUAGAUAGAACCAGAGCUAUCUCCUUUUCAGAUCCCGAAACUGAUGCUGGGGUUGUUGAUGUUGGUUUGGUCUUAGACACACAUAACAUGCAGGUUUCUGCUUCUCUAUUUGCUAAAGGUCUUGAAAACCCUUGACGCUUGAAGCCUUCUCACUAUACUAGUAUACUCGGUUUCAACAGCAUUUUCUUUGUGAACAUGUUCUUCCAUGUAGCUCUGUUUUUUUUUCCUCCUCUGUGCUGCAUCUAGUAUUUGAAUCACAAUUAUCUAGUUUGUUUUCGUUUGUUUUCAUUGAUUCUGUUGUUAAAUGCUGGCAUGCCAGAUUAAAGACACAAGAUUUGGGACACAAGAUUUAUGACACUGAUUUUGGAUGGGGAAGACCAAGGAGAACAGAAGUGGUUUCUAUAGAUAAAACGGGGGCGAUCUCUUUGUCAGAUAGCAAGAAUGGUGGUGGAGGUGUUGAGAUUGGGUUGGUUUUGAAGAAACAAUAUAUGGAUGCUUUUGCUGCUCUGUUUGCUCAAGGUCUUCUGUGAAACAAUAUAUGAAGAAACAAUUCCUGGACUUCUCACUGAGGCUGGUGAUACUCAUUUUGGAUAACCACAAAACAGAAAGAGAUUUCAGGACUGUCCCACAGACACAAAUUACAACCAGACACUAGAUUUGCCACAUUGCUUCUUAUCUUUACAACCGUUUGCGGCAUGGCCUCUGAAGAAUUAAGGAAUAUUAUUUAGGCAUGCCCUAGGAAUGAUAUUUUUUUCACACACUACUAAUAUUCGAACGUAAUAUCACUGUAUACAAGUCAAUGUCAGUUUCUACUCGGCACCCACGUCCACCACUUAUAUCAAUCCUUUCAUUCAACACUUAUAUCAAACCUUUCAUUCAACUUUGCUUCCAUCCAUUUCGAUCAAUCGAAAAAAAAAAAAUUGCUUCCGUUAUCCAUCCCCAAUGGCAGAGCUAAACUCAGUCAGAGUGCUUGAGGUUUGCAAUGUUGCUCCACAGCCAAGCUCACCUGCUGGCUCAGCCACACCUCCGCCUAAGGCCCUUCCUCUAAGCUUGUUUGAUUUGCCCUGGCUCAGAUUUGCACCUGUCCAACGCCUUUUCUUCUAUGAAAUCUCCAACUCCUUUGACACCACCAUACUCGUUUCAAAACUCAAAGCCUCCCUCUCUGUCGCCCUCCAACAAUUCCUACCACUAGCAGGGUACCUCAAAUGGCCCCAAGACUCCCCCAAGCCCAUUCUCAGUUAUGUCCAAGGCGACGCCGUUUCACUCACCAUAGCCGAGUCUGAUGCCGAUUUCCACCAUCUUUCAAGUCGUAGCAACUUUGUUGAGGCCAAAGAGUACCAUUCUCUCGUACCCCAAUUGACAACCUCUCACGAAAAGGCCGCAGCCGUGGCGUUCCAAGUCACCAUCUUUCCCAACGGAAAUGGCUUCUCCAUUGGCACAUCCAUGCACCAUGCCAUCCUGGACGGCAAGUCUUCAACCAUGUUUGUGAAAUCAUGGGCUCACAUUUGCGAACAUCUUGGUGAUGAUCCAUCUGGUUCAUCUCUACCAGAUCAGCAGAAACCAUUUUUUGACAGAAGGGUCGUCCAAGACCCGGCCGGGCUCGAACCAAUCUUCUUGAACCAAAUUCAGAAUCUGGACGGACCCAACAACAGGAGCUUGAUGGUUACCCAGUUUAAAUCUCCACCACCAGACGCGGUUCGUGGGAUCUUUGUAAUCACACGACCCGAAAUAGAAGCAAUGAAGCAAUGGGUUUCGACCAAAAUGGCAGAGAUGAUCAAGAAUGAAAAACAAUCUGAUCGUCCUCAUUUGUCAACAUUUUCUGUAACAUGUGCUUAUACAUGGGUUUGCUUACUCAAGGCAGAGGAAAAAAAGACCGAUAAGCCAGUUAUGAUGGGCUUCACUCUGGACUGCAGGCCUCGCUUUGACCCUCCGAUACCUGUAAACUAUUUUGGGAACUGCAUAGCCGGCCGUGUAAUAGUUGCAGAGAGAAAAGGGCUUCUUGGGGAAGAUGGGUUGACCGUGGCGGUCAACGAAAUCAGUGAAGCUAUAAAAAGAGCGGAGAGUGAUGGGAUUUUGAAAGGGGCAGAGACUUUGGUUCCAAUAGUUUAUUCUGCUGAGAGGAGUGAAAAGAGAUUUAUGGGUGUUGCUGGUUCACCAAGGUUUGGGAUUUAUGAUACAGAUUUUGGAUGGGGAAGGCCAAGCAAGGUGGAGGUGGUUUCGAUCGAAGUAACAGGAGCAAUGUCCCUGGCAGAGUCUAGGGAUGGUAUUGCUGGAGAUGUUGAGGUCGGUUUAGUUUUGGAAAAACAUCAUAUGCAAGCUUUUGCUUCUCUGUUUGCUAAAGGGCUUCAAGACCUUUGAAUCCACUUAUGAAAUUGGUGUUAAUUUGUUGCAGAGUUCUAAUGUUUUCACUUUGUUUUGGAUUUUGGUUAUGUUUGUUUGCAAUUGUCCUGUGCUUCUCUCAUUUUGUUGGGCCAAAUUACAAGAAUCAUUUGUGCACAUAAAUGUCAUAAUAAACUCUCAACAAAAUUAAAGAGUCUUAAAACAACUGCUUUGUUAUAAAACUAAAAGAUUGUAGAGAGAAUUACGGUAUAGAGAGCAUAGAAUUCUGAUAUUUUCAUUGAAUGUUUUGUUCUGUCCAUUACAAUGAAGGGAGGAAGUCCACUUAUAGGCAAAGUCUUUUGACUUCCUGUGAAUGUGUAAUGAUGUCUUCCCACAUCACUUUCAUCAUGAUGUUCUUUAUUAUUUCCAAAUGUGUGGGCUCCAUUCAAGACUUUACAACACUCCCCAUUGGAAACCACUAUAUAUGGAAGAGGAAUACUAGUAACCUUCUCUUUAACCUUCUCCUUUGAACUUUCUCCAUUUUUUGCUUGACAUGUAUCAUUCUCCUUACACUUAAAACCAUGUCAUUAGUAUAUUAUACAAGCUAACUUUUGCUUUCCAAGUUUACCCUUAUUAAAUGUAUUCAAUUUAUCCAAAAAAAUUUCACAACUUUCUUACCAUCUUAUUCAUUUUUUUUAACAUCAAUUAUUUUUAAAAGAAAAUAUAUGAUUUUUUUUUCAAAAAAGAGGAAAUGCCCGUUUUUUUUUUUUUAAAACACAAAGGACAUUUUUUUUUUCUAUCUAAACCCUUUGUGUUAAAAAUAAAAAACCAGACAUUUCCUCUUAAAAGCAUACAUUUUCUUUAGAAAAAAUAAUUGAUGUUAGAAAAAAAUUAAUAAGAUGGUAAGAAAGUUGUGAAUUUUUUUUGAAUACAUUUAAUAAGGGUAAAGUUGGAAAGCAAAAGUUAACUUGUAUAAUAUUUUAAUGACAUUGUUUUAAGUGUAAUGAGAAUGACACAUGUCAAGCAAAAAAUAGAGAAGGUAAAAGGAGAAGGUUAGAGAGAAGGUUGCUAGCAUUCCCCAUGUAUGGAAUAUGCCUCGUUAAAAACCUUGCCAGUAAAAAUCCAGUGGGACAAAAAACUGAUCGAAGGGAACAAAAGUACAUAACCAUGUGUAACAUAAAAUUCUGUGUAUAUUAACACGCAUGCGACAUUGCCUCGUUAAAACUUUGCCAGGAAAAACCCAGUGGGAUAAAAACAUGGACGAAGGAAAAAGAGUACAGUGUGUGAAUGUCUUUAUUGACAGCAUGCUCCCCCUGAUGCUUGGCAAAAUAUAUUGUUGAUCAUCUUUUUGAAUAUCAUAGCUGGCACUGCUUCUGUGAGUCAAUCUUGUAAUAUUGUUGGGUACUCCCCCAGAAGAAUAUCUCCUCCUGAAAUCUUCAUGACUAACUUUCUCCAGUAAGCGGCCAUUGAAAUUUUCAGAGUCCACGUAUCCAACAAAAUCUAGGCUAUUUGUAAGUUUACUUGAAAAGAAUAUGCCCGUAUAUGGUGUUAUGCAGAUAUAGCAUCAAAUAUGCCUCACAUCAUCCCAAAGUGGUGAUGAUGGAAGUGAGCUCUAUCUAGAAAAUAUAAUAUCCGGUCCAGUAUACUUCUGAAAAAUUAUUUAAGUUUCCAACGGAUAAUCCACAUAAAAAUGCUUCAAUGCUUUCUUAGUAUAAGCAAAAAUCUCGUUGGCAUAAAGCUCGAUCUUCAGGCUGAGACAAGUAUUUCUUGAACUCUUCAAGAGUUUUAAUGUGUUGUAAACAUAUUAUAAUUAAUGUACUCACUGAGGCAAUUUAUGCAUAUUAGUAUUGAGUAUAGAUUUUGUGCUUCAGGCACAUGUUAUUCAAGGACUUGCUUCAUGCAAUUGCAAUCCUUUCAAAGAUUUUGUUACAAAGGGAUUAUACUUUAUGACACAUUAUAUAAAUUUAACCCAGCUAUUUAUACAUCCUUAGGGAAUCGCUUCUAACGAUAUGCUCUGUGCAUUUAAUAACCCUUAAAGAUAACAUGUUGGUCUCCGUAAAUGUGCAGUAAGGGGGGCACAAUUGAAUCUGUAAAUAUGGGGAAACCCAACAUUCCUUGUUUCUGCCAGAAACAUUGUGUCUACAAAGUGGGUAUAUUCCCUUUUAUUCCGAACACCUAAGUAUAACUUUCAGUAUUAACAUCUUUUGGGGUUCGUACUAUGGGUUUGUUCUUUCACGUUCAUUCUCAUUUGUAAUGGAAUUGCCUCAUUCCAUUUUGGCCAAUGAUAUUGUUGACAUUUAAUAGUUGAACGUGGUUCCAAUCAAUACAGCCCAUUGAUGAUUUGAGUAGCUACUCCAAAAUCAAAAAUUUUCAUUCAUCACUUCGUGAUCCCAUCAUUCUCAUGUGCAUGCGCAUGUAUCAAUUAUAAGCAUUUCUUUGCUUUUGGGUACCCAAGCCACUUUAGGGGGCUUUUAUUGUCUCUUUCCAGACAGACAUCCCUUAUAAGAUGAAUUAUGUGAGAAUGUGGAUCAUAACCUCCAAUGGAGCGUUAUUUUACAGUAGGGUGCGGAUAAUCUCUAUUUUGGGAGUUGGAACAUUUAGAACCCAUAUAUAUGUCAUGCUGCAUGCAUGCCACAGAUUAAUACAAACAUGUCUGUUACGCAUUAGGCGUGCACCGUAUCAAUAUUGACAUGUUAAAGGAUUGUCCUUUCGAGACUUCAAUCCAUAUCAGUUGCUACGCAACAAGCAUGCAUCAUAUUAAUCACUGCUAUACCCAUAUUCUGUUCUUAUGGGACUUUAAUAUGUGCAGUGUAUUAUCAAUGUAUCCAACUUGCAAUCUGUAAAAUUUGCAUUAAUAAUUCAUGGAUACAUAUCGGAAUGAUACAAACCAUUCUUCUGGAAUGAUCAUUUGCAUGACGUUCUUCUGGAACGACCUUAUCUCCCCAUUUAGUUACCUUUCAAGAUGUUUUACAAAAUAUCAAAAUAAGUGUAUAAGCAUAAAAUAACACAAGUAUUGCUUACAUCCUUAGGUGGGAGAAACUUUUCUCAAGUAUCAUUCAAGCUCGUAUAGGCCCAGUAAAUAUAAUGUUGCGCUUGAUGAUCUAGUUAUAUCCUGCAAGAGCAAAAAUAACAAUUCUUCUCUCUGUCAAAAACAAAUAACCCCUAGAGUUAGGAUCACUUCAUGGAUUCUUUCUUCGGAUAUUCGUUCUAAAGAAAUCAAACCCCUUAUGAAUAGAGAGUUAUAAAAAGAGAAAAAGAUACAAAAAAUUGUGAUAUUGAUUGCAAGGUAAAGUAAGCAAUCAGGUGAGGAAGCUGAUGAGAGCAGACAACAAACUCUCAUUUCUCCUAGUUUAGAAGAACCUCAUGAGAUUAGAGUACGUGGUCGUCCUUACAAUUCCCUGAUCUAGCUAAAACGUGAUCAGAGAUAGUCUCGCUUCCUAAAUGAAUGAUCAGAGAUAGUCUCGCUUCUCAAGCACAUUGAGUGCUCACUGACAGGAAAAACAGGUGGAUAUUGCAUCACUAGAUAUGGAGAAAACUGGGUGUCUUCUACAAAGAAAAUUUCGUUAGUAAUACAUUUAUACACAAAUAAGAGGAAUAGGUAGAUCCAAUGAAUUUCAAAUUAACCACAGAAAUUUGCGAGGUUCUCGGGGUGCUUUUGAAAAAGUAGUUCCGUAAAAUCCGCAAAGCAAGAUCGGCUUGACGAAAAUAAUUCUUGAGAAUGCCGAAAGUGCCGACAAACAUUAAUGAAGACCGCGUGAAGUUUUGAAAUCUGGGAAAGAAAAAGAGAAUAUGAGGAUCCGAGAAGAUAUUGGGAUCUUGGAAACGUUGCCACAUUUCCGUCUAUAGACAUUGCCUUUGCAAGACCUGAUUGAAGUAACUUCAUUUCAACUCAACUUCUCCAUUUUCUAAAAAUUCAGCUUUUCUAAGACUUUCCUGUUAUAAUAAUUAGGCAAAUUCUUAAACUUGCACCUGUUGUUUUCACGUCUUUUUAAAAUGAUGGUUUGGAAUAUUGUGCCUUAUAGGUUCAAAUAACCACAUCAAAUCUCUCAAAUUACAUAUUUCAAUGCAUGUGAGUCCGGAACUUCUAACCCGGGCUAAACACGGCUUCAGAAUUUAUUUGCUUUUUUCAAAUAGGCAUGAAAUAUGAAUUGAGGAAGAGUCAUGAUAAUAUUGUAAUAUAGUAGUGAAGAGCAUUAACUACUAUAUACUCAAAACUUCAGGUUCAUGACUUUUCAUAUAUUGGGAUCCAUGGGUUUCCGGCUCAGAUCAUAUGAUAUAACAAAAUAUAUGGGGAGCCUCAAUUCAUCAUUUGAAGUUUAUCCUGAUAUUAUCCUUUUUACGGUGUAUUCUUAACAACCAGAAUUCACAAAAUAUAUUUCUUCCUUAAGGUGUCGAUUAUAACAGAAUCGAACUUUAUUAAAUUCAUCAUCUUCUUAUGCCAAAGAAAUAUGUGGCGUACCACAAUUUGCAAUAAUACCUCAAGGGUUGUCCAUUUAAUUGUUGGAACUUCAGGUUCUCAACACUAUUAGAUUUUGAACUUCAAGCCAAAAUCACAUAUUCUCAUGGUAUGGACAUUUUUACAAUUUUCUGUACAUAUUUCGGGACUUCAAGCCCUUACAUAAUUGUCCAUAUUUUGAGGAACUUCUGGUAUCUCAUUUAAUUGCUCAUCCAUGAGUUUAAGGAACUGCAUGUUCCCUUUUGUAUAUAAUGACGGUUUACCCAAAAUAGUUAAUAUUUAUGCAUACGUCACUAUUCAUGUAUACGAUACUAUUCAUCAAGUUAUGAAUAUGUAUCUAUUCAUGUGUAUAGUACAUUGCCAGUACAGUUAUUAUUCAUGUGUACGCCACUUUUAACCAAUACGGUACUGUUACAUCAAGGAACUCUAGGUCCUUAUUUACAUGUCAAGAAUCAAGGAUCUUCAAAUCCGAUCUCUUGUUUACAAGUAUAGUACCGGAGAGACUGCCAGCUCUCAUAUCAAUAUCAUCAUCAAGGAUCUUCAAGUCUUGAUGUAGUUGUAUGAUGAGGAUCAAAGAACUUCUAGUCCUGAUCUGUAUACUAUAAGAACUCAUCAUACUGCACAAUUAAUCCAUAAAAUAAAUUGCUUGUAAAUAAAUUGCUGGUAAAUAAAUCGCUGGUAUGGACGAUAAACCCGCACCAUACUUUAAAUAAUAAAGUAAAUGUGCGAUAAAGUGAAUUCAUAAAUUAAAUUGUCUCAUGUAUGGACGUUAAUCCCGCACCAUACCUUAAAUAAAAUUAAAUGUGCGGUAAAAUAAAUUGUUUGCUGCAUGGGAGUUAAUUCUGCACCAUACAAUAAUAAAGUAAAUGUGCUUGUAUGGGCACUAAUAUUGCUCCAUACUUUUAAAUAAAAGUAAAGGCAGUUGUGUGAACGAUAAACCCGCGCCACACUUUUAAAUAAAUAGUGUCAUAUGGGUAAUAAACCUACACCAUACAGUAAAUAAAUUGUAUGGAUAAUGAACCUACACCAUACAGUAAAUAAAAUAAAUGUGGAGAUAAAACCACCACUAAAAAAUAUAAGAGGUGAAACCGUCUAUUUUAUUAAAGUAAAUGUGUGAAUAAAACCACCACUAAAAAUAUAGAAGGUGAAACCGUCCAUAGAAUUACCAUAUAUAUGCAUAUCCAUAAAAUUAUCAUAUAUAUGCAUAAAAUAAAGACAAUUAUUUGUGGGUUCUUAUUAACACUACGAUCAAAUAAUAUAAUAUUAUAUUACCAUCAACUUUUCAUAUAUAUAUUAGUAUGGUCAGAAAAACUAUGGCAAUAAUGCUAAAAGUUGCAGGAAGCUUUUCCACCCUUUUUUUUUUUUUUUCUUUCGUUGGAAUCUUAUCAAUAGCAUGAUUUUUAUUUUAUUAUUAUCAUUUGUGAAAGACAUCACGCUUGUCUCUCUAAAUCAAAUUCUUUCCACCUGUAAUCCGCACUAGCUUUGAAUGUUAGAUGAGUAUUAAAUUGUGGGCAGAUAUUAUAAUAAUAUAAUUAAUGGAAGGAGAUAAAGUGAGAUGCAGAGAACUUAUCUCCCUUUUGGUGUUGUUUUUUAUUAUUAUUAUUAUUUAUUUUUUUUCAGAUUGCAAGCAAGGCCCAAGCAAAGCUGCCCUGCAUGCAUCUUCUUUUUCUUUGGGAACGAGAGUUGCGGCGACACCGUUGUCUACGUCGGAAAAGCAGACGCUGCCGUCGGCCCUUACGUCAUAGCGGUGAGAUCCUUAUUCUAAAUCAACGUGGGACAUCUUCUAGAGGCUUGGUUGUCUAGGGAUACCAAAAUUGUGGUCCAAGAGUUUGGAUACACCUGAGCAGUAUGUCUGGUAAGAGCAUCAACUAGAUUGUACAUUCUCUUCUUGGCUGCUGUCUAUUGUCCGAUACCAUAGCCAAGAAAUUUGAUAGACCAAGAAGGUUGAAGCUUGAAGAAUGCUUAGAGAGAGACAGAGAGAGGGAGAUAAUGGUCUCAGGGACCAGGACUCAUGCUUGCUCUAGAGACGUGCAGUGGGUUUGAUUGCAUUCUUCUCUGCUAUGAUUAUGAAGAACGGGAAAGACAAAGGAGAAAAUGAUAAAAGAUUUGGGUUUCAUCAGAGAAUUCAGCUAGUAUUGUUAAAGCGAAUUCGUGCUAAUAACGUGUUAUUGAUAACGUGUUAUAAAACUAAAAGAUUGUAGAGAGAAUUGAGGUAUAGAGAGCAUAGACAUCUGAUAUUUUCAUUGAAUGUUUUGUUCUGUCCAUUACAAUGAAGGGAGGAAGUCCACUUAUAGGCAAAGUCUCUUGGCUUCCUGUGAAUGUGUAAUGAUGUCUUCCCACAGCACUUUCAUCAUGACGUUCUUCAUUAUUAUCAAAUGUGUGAGCUCCAUUCAAGACUUUACAACACACUUCUCAUUUAUUUUUAUUUUUAUUAUUUAUAUACAAAUAAUAUUUUAAAUUAUGAAAAAUUAAUCUAAUUUAUAGAAAGAGAACUCAAACUCGGUGCAACUCAAUUUAGUGGAUCAGAGAGGGAGGAGGCUAUGGGACCAUCUAAAAUGACUGCACCCUUUCUUUUUUGAGGUGGGGUUCGAACCCCAGGCGUCUGGGCCAAACACCUACUCAUUACCACGAUGAUGGGACGCCACUCGCACAAUGACUGCACCCUUGAUUUGGCUAAAGCUGCAAGCCUCCAAUAACGUGAGCCCUACUCGGAUUCACUUGUCUCCAUAUCCAAUUCACAAUGAACAAAGGACUAGUUGACAAACCAUUAUGUGACACGUAUUCAUAAAACAACUUUGACAACUCAUCAUGCCAACUUUUAUUACAAACCGACGUCGCACCAUUGCCCAUGAUGUUCAAGUUUAUUAUUUUUAACUAAAGAAGUUGUGAGUAACUCAAUUUUGUGUCUCCACAUGAAGGUCUUUGAUAUGUUAAUAUUUAUAUAUAUAAUUAAUGAUAUUUCUAUUACAUUUGUGUGAUUAGAAUGGUUAAGUGCACUACAAUUCAUUGUUUUUACUUUUAGGUAAUUAAAUCAUGCAAAAUUGAGAAGAAUCAAAUGGUAGAGGUUGUUUGACAAUUAUCAAUCAAGUAGUCAAUUUUCACAAAUUAGAAUAACAACAAUCCAUACCAAACGUGACGUGGUUGUGCUGUAGCAAAAUAAGGAAAUUUUGUAUGAGCUUGGUGACGUGAGGCAUGGGAUGAGUUGAAGAUGCAAGUGAUGUGUAGGGAAAGUGGCUUUGGGAGUUUUAAUUAAUUUUUUUAAAAGGGCUUGUAGUCCAAGUAGGAUUAGAAUUCCUUUCCCUUUUUGAACUUGCUCGCUAUGAGUUACAUAAGAGUGCUUUGCUGUUUUUUUUUGGUUGGGGGGGGGGGGGGGAGGGGGAGAGAGAGGAGAAAGGAGAGGAUGGCAAGAGAAGGGGAAGAUAAAUUAGAGGUUUUUCUAAACUUAUGCUAUUUUUCAUCAUGAUUUCAAAUAUGAUUAUGAGGAACUAAUUUUCUUUGUUAGGGUUAGUUAAUAUUAAUUUCAAGUUUUCCUUUUUUUAAAAAAAAAAAGAGAGAGUAUAUUUUGCUGCACUUAAUGUUUAAUUUGGUUUGGAUGUUUGGCCACCAUCUAAGUUGAAUUAGUGGUUAGAGUACAUGCUAAACCUAACUUGAGUUUUGUUUCUUGCAAUUGAUAUCAUGAAUGACUAAUUGUAGAUGCCAUGCAAUUAGGGUUUGUGUGAUUGUUACAUAAUUUUCAUAGAGCUUAUGUGUUGAAUUCAUCUAGAUGCCAAAGAGGAUUGCAUGUAAAUAUACUUUUGAUGUAACCAGAUGCUAGUUAUUGAAUAGUUUAGGGAAAUUACUUGGAAUUGGUAUAUGUAAUAAGGGAUUGGGUAGGAUUGGAUACUAUGAAAUUGGAUACUCUAGUGUCUUUCUCUCUUGGUUUUCUUACUCUCAUGUCGUGUGUUUUCUGUCUUUAAUUUUUGCUUUCUUUAAUUUUAGUUUUUCAAUUACAAAUUCAAAUUAAUUUCAUCCAUUAAAUUUUCUCAAUUUAAAAUUAGUCUCAGUUUAAUUGGUAGAAAUAUUAAAAAUUAAAUAAAUCUAUGUGGGACAAUAUAUGUAUUUAGCUAUACUAUUUUCUGAUUUGUAUACUUGAGAGCACUAAAAUUUGAUUAAUUUGAUAAUCCUGAAUUUCACAACAUAGCCUUCAUUGUUGGAAUAUGGUGUCACCCAUAUAUGGUCAUUCAAUGGUUUAGCUUCUGGUCAUGGGUGGCUUUGGGGUGUGCAAGAUCGGCCAUUGCAUAUGGCCCCAAUUUUAAGAAGGCCCUCAAAUUUUUUUUAGUAAAUUUAGGUUUUGGCCACAAAAAACUUUCACUUUUGAAAAAAGUCAAAGCUUUUUCAAAAAAGACAGAAAAACUUUUCAACUUUCAAACCAAAGACAUGCAAAUGUAAAGGAUUCCUUAGGAAAUCCAAAAAUAAAUAAGGACAUUUUUGUCCAUUUUAACUUCUUUUAAAAAUAUUUCUCUCUCCUUUGACCUUUUACAAAAUGUCCCAAGUUUUUUUUCCUUGUUUCAACAUAUAUAUAUAUAUAUAUAUAUUAUGUGUCAUAUAUUGACUCUAACAUAAUAUAUUAAUAUAUAUAUUAAUACAUUAAAAUUUCAUAUAAUAUGAGCUCUUGAUCAAUAUAAAACCCCGUCAUAGGGUUUUGAUUUUAUGAAACUUGUUGAAUUAUUUGUUUAAUAAUCGUUUAUAAUAUUUUUUAAAAAUAUUUAUAAGUAUUUUUAAAUUUUCUGUAAAUAUAUGUGGUCCAAUUCCUUUUAUAGUUUUUUUGUUGAAGACUUCGUUUUAGGAGAUCUUAUUACUCAUUUUGUAUGUCCCUAAAAUCUCUGAGUCUCCUUUUGAUGUAAAACGUUUCGAUUUGAGUAUAAUAAUUUCUAUUUGUUAGAUGAAAAAAAAAAAGAAAAGAAGAGGAUAUGAUGACAUCAAUGAGAACUAAAAAGUUCGAAAGAGAUAAAUAUGGGAACUCGACUACUCAUCUUGAAAAGGAAAAUAACUUGCAUACAAGAAGUUCAUUUUUUAUUUUUUUAUUUAGUCAACUUGAAUUUCAUUAGAUAAAGAAAUUAUGGAAGAAAGUCCAAUGAAAAAGGAUCACAAACACAAUCCCUUUGCAAGGAGCCUAUAAUAGACAAGAUCCAACAAAAAAAAAAACAAAAUACAAAAGCUCCUAUAAAUAUAAAGAGUGCUAUAAUAGAUCUCGAGCCUCUGCAUUGAGCAUCCGUGUAUUUACAUGCAUUUAAAAGAAUAUCUGAUGGUCAAUAUUCUUUUAUACAUGUAAACGCAUGAAUGCUCUUUGCAAAUGCGUGUAAAUACAUGAAUGCUAAAAGAAGAGGCUCGGAAUCUAACCAAUGGAUAAAAUAUUCAUGGUAUCAAAGCGAGUUGAUUAACCGGGCCUGAAUUGGGCAUUUACCCUUACCUAAUAUAAGGUGUUCACAUGUUGGACUUAAAUGUUUACUCCUACUCCUUAUCUAAUACACGGUGUUCACAUGUUGAGUUUGAAUGAUUGACUUCAAUGUGGACUUGGCGCCGCGUGUAGUCCAUUAUGUGAUAGUCUCACAUGAGGGGGCGUGUUGAAGAAUAUGAGUCCCACAUCGGAAAUUUGACUAAAUAAAAUAAAAUAUAUAAUAAAUGAUUCAACCACUAAUAUCACCGAUGCCUUUUGUGUUAAAACCCCACACUUAGUGAGCUUUGUAAGUAGUUAAGUUGUGGACAAUAUUGGUGUUGUUAGUAACGGGCCAUUAAUCCAUCUCUCUAAAAUUUAAGAAGCGCAAGUGUUUGCUGUAAAUAAGAGGGAGGCUCAAUAAAUUUUAAAAGAAAAUUAAUCCACUAAUAUUGAAGUUUUAUGUAUACUCAUGAGCUUUGACGUUUUAUUGGUUAAACGGGUCAUGGCUUGAGAUAGUUGUUUGCAGUAUUGAAGAAAUGGGGGUGAACGUGAAGCCGGAAGAAAAGAAAGAAAAGAUGGGCUGGUUUUGGCUAUAAAUGUAAUUAGUGAAGGAAAGAAAGCUUUGGAUAAUGGGCUUUUGAAUGGGGCAUGAAAGGUUUUGAUUUAACACGAGCUAUAAAGUAUUUAGCAGACGACACGGGAAUAAUUUUCAGCGGCCUCACAUCACAGCUCUUAAUGCAAUUUAAACAAAAAGUAAUCUUCGUCCAAAAAAAAAAACAAAAAGUAAUGUAAUUCUAAAUAUAUAAUGUUCUCAAGCUUCUAACUUCCAUUUCUAUUUGGCAAUGGCAGACCCAACAAGCUCAGUUAAAGUCGUUGAAGUUUGUCAGGUGGCUCUUCCACCUCCACCCUCACCUAGGUCAUUCGCAUCCCCAAGUUCCUUUCCUCUUACCUUCUUCGACAUCCGUUGGUUAAGGUUUGCGCCGGUCCAGUGCCUUUAUUUCUACGAAAUGCCUACUUCCUCUGCAACACAACUAUUCUUUGAUACUGUACUGGCCCCAAAACUCAAAACCUCACUCUUUAACACCCUCCAACACUAUCUACCUCUAGCAGGACACCUGACUUGGCCUCAAAACUCCCAGAAACCCGUUCUUAGCUAUGUCCAAGGCGACACCUUUUCGCUCACAAUAGCAGAGUCUGGUGUUGACUUCUACCUCAUGAACAAGCUGCAGUGAUGGCAUUGUAGAUCACUGUCUUUCCCAACUGUGGCCUUUUGAUUGGGACCUCCAUGCACCACGCAAUCCUAUAUGGCAAGACUUCAACGUUGUUUGCGAAAUCUUGGGCUCACAAUUGCAAACAUGGUGAACAAUCUACUUCAAUGCUACUUGAUCAUUUGAAACAAUUUUAUGAUAUAAGAGUUAUUCAGCUGAGCUGAGAGCUGAGAGCAAUCUACUCGAACCUGUAUCGAAAUAAGGACGGUCCCAACAAUAGAAGCUUAAUGUUUUGGGAGAAGAAAGCCCCACCAGGCUCCAUCAGAGGCACCUUUCCAAUCACAACAGCAGAUAUAGAAACACCGAGGCAAUUGUUGAAGGCUAAAUUAGCAGAGCAGAAACAACAAGAUAUUCGUUUAGUUCAUGUGCCAACUUUCACUCUAGCAUGUGCCUAGACAUGGGUUUGCAUAAUCAAGGCAGAGGACUGCAGGUCUAGCUUGGAUCCUCCUGUAACUCAAAAACUAUUUUGGGAACUGCAUUGCCGAAACAAAAGCCUUGUUUGGAGAUGAUGGGUUGGUUGUGGCUGUGAAUGCAAAUAGUGAAGCUAUAAGACGUUUGGAGAAGGGGGUUUUGGAUGGGGCAGAGAAUUGGGUUUCAAGAGUGUUUGCUGUGAGCAGUGAGAAAAUGCUUAUGCUUGCCGGUUCACAUCGGUCUGGGGUUUAUGAGUCUGAUUUUGGACGGGGAAGACCAAAGAAGGUUGAGAUUGUUUCCAUAGAUAGAGCCAGAGCUAUCUCCUUUUCAGAUCCCGAAACUGAUGCUGGGGUUGUUGAUGUUGGUUUGGUCUUAGACAAACAUAACAUGCAGGUUUCUGCUUCUCUAUUUGCUAAAGGUCUUGAAAACCCUUGACGCUUGAAGCCUUCUCACUAUACUAGUAUACUUGGUUUCAACAGCAUUUUCUUUGUGAACAUGUUCUUCCAUGGACCAUGUAGCUCUGUUUUUUUUUCCUCCUCUGUUGCUGCAUCUAGUAUUUGAAUCACAAUUAUCUAGUUUGUUUUCAUUGAUUCUGUUGUUAAAUGCUGGCAUGCCAGAUUAAAGACACAAGAUUACGUGCCCAUUUCACAUUGCUUAUUUGGAGUGAUAAGUGAUUUUUUUAAAAUUUUGGGAAGCCCAACCCGUUUGGUAAACUGUGAGAAAAUCACUUAUUGUUAAAAAUUGCUGUGAGAGAAAGCUAUAAAGGAAAGCAGCUAAUGAGGUGCUUUCAUUUUCUGAUUAUACAGGAAUCAGUUUCGAAGAGGAGCUGGGUUUAAUGAUUAAUCGGCAAUUAUUUUCUGAUUAUGAGUAAAAUCAAUACCAACAACAUUUUUAACAAAAAUUUUACCAAACGCCAAACUACUUUCUCUUACAGCUGAUUUCUCUCACAGCAAAUUUGACAACGAUUAUUUUCACAGCACAGCAAUGCCAAACUGGCCCUACGUGAUUCCCCACUUUUUGGAACUUGAAAAUGACUACCACCAAGUGUUGACUUGGGAGGCUAUUGUGCCACAUUUUGUUAAUUUUGAGGCUAUUGGAAUUUUAUAAGACUGCAGAACAGCCUAUAACAUCUUUUUUUGUAAAUUUUUAGAAUCUUUUUUUGUUAGACCUGUAUUGGGAGAAAUUAUCUCUGAAAUUCGUAACAGCGACAUUUGUUCAAACUUAUUGGGCGCAACAUAAAUUAAAUGACAUGAGAAAUUAUAGAAUACUUACCACUUGGCCGUUUAAAAUUAAGGAACAUUCAUUUGGUCUGUUCAUCAAUUAUAUUAAACCCUUCAUUCAACUUUGCUUGCUUCCAUGAUCCAUCCCCAAUGGCAGACCUAAACUCAGUCAGAGCGGUUGAGGUUUGCAAGGUUGCUCCACAGCCAACCUCGCCAGAAGAUCACUCAGCCACACCUGACGCCCUUCCUUUAACCUUGUUUGAUUUACUCUGGCUCAGAUUUGCACCCGUCCAACGCCUUUUCUUCUAUCAAAUCUCAAACUCCUUUGAAACCACCAUACUCGUUUCAAAACUCAAAGCCUCGCUCUCCAUCGCCCUCCAACACUUCCGACCUCUAGCAGGAAACAUCACUUGGCCCCGACACUCCCCUAAACCAGUUCUCACUUAUGUCCAAGGGGACGCCGUUUCGCUCACCAUUGCCGAGUCUCAUGCUGAUUUCCACCAUCUUUCAAGUCGUAGCAACUUUGUUGAGGCCAAAGAGUACCAUCCUCUCGUACCCCAAUUGCCAAUAUCUCACGAAAAGGCCGCAGCCGUGGCGUUCCAAGUCACCGUCUUCCCCAACGGCAACGGCUUCUCCAUUGGAACAUCCAUGCACCAUGCCAUCCUAGACGGCAAGUCUUCAACCAUGUUUGUGAAAUCAUGGGCUCACAUUUGCAAACAUCUUGGUGAUGAUCCAUCCGGUUCAGCUCUACCAGAUCAGCUGAAACCAUUUUUUGACAGAAGGGUCGUCCAAGACCCGGCCGGGCUCGAACCAAUCUUCUUGAACCAGCUUCAGAAUCUGGACGGACCCAACAACAGGAGCUUGAUGGUUACCCAGUUUAAAUCUCCACCACCAGACGCGGUUCGUGGCAUCUUUGUAAUCACACGACCGGAAAUAGAAGCAAUGAAGCAAUGGGUUUCGACCAAAAUGACAGAGAUGAUCAAGAAUGAAAAACAAUCUGAUCGUCCUCAUUUGUCAGCAUUUUCUGUAACAUAUGCUUACACAUGUGUUUGCUUAGCCAAGGCAGAGGAAAAGCAGAGCGAUAAGCCAGUUUUGAUGGCCUUCAGUCUGGACUGCAGGUCUCGCUUUGACCCUCCCAUGCCUGCAAACUACUUCGGGAACUGCAUAGCGGGCCGUGCAGUUGUUGCAGAUAGAAAAGGGGUUCUAGGAGAAGAUGGGUUGACCGUGGCCGUCAACGAAAUCAGUGAAACUAUAAAACGUGUGGACAGUGAUGGGAUUUUGAAAGGGGCAGAGACUUGGGUUCAAAUACUUUACCCUGCUGUGAGCAGUGAAGAGAGAUUUAUGGGUGUUGCUGGUUCACCAAGGUUUGGGAUUUAUGAUACAGAUUUUGGAUGGGGAAGGCCAAGCAAGGUGGAGGUGGUUUCGAUCGAAGAGACAGGAGCCAUGUCCCUGGCAGAGUCUAGGGGUGGUAUUGCUGGAGAUGUUGAGGUCGGUUUGGUUUUGGAAAAACAUCAUAUGCAAGCUUUUGCUUCUGUGUUUGCUAAAGGGCUUCAAAACCUUUGAAUCCACGCAUGAAAUUGGUGUAAUGUUUUCGCUUUGUGUUUUGGGGGAUGAAUAAUUUGAUCAAUGUUCUUUCUUUUUUUUCCUGUUUCUCUCAUUAGAACAACUGUUUCUCAUUUUUUAUUUCUUUGAUACAGACGAUAGUAUAAAUGAUUAUAAAUUUAUCUAAUCUAUGAAAAAGGAACUCGAACUUGAGUGCAAGUCAAUUUAGCGAAGAACAAGCUGCAACGACAUAUGCAACUCCGGUUCGCUCGUCUCCGUAUCCAAUUCUCAAUGAAUAAAGGAGUAAUUGACGACUCAUUAACACCAACAUUCAAUAUCUCAUCUACUUUCACAACUACAAACUGAAAUAAUAAAUACCCGAUCACAAUGAAUUAGUCAAUAAUUAUGCUCAGAUAUUCAGUUUCGCAAAAAUAAUGCAUCCAACUAAGUCAACCAAAAUAAUUGCAUCAAAUUAAUGAUGUUCUUGGAAUAUUGAUACAAAAUAAAUUAUGUGUUAAAAAAUAUUUAAUAUCUGAGUAUGACCUACGAUGACAAAGACUCAUCGUCACAAUCAUGGUGAUUAUUUAAAAGGUGUAACAUCUCUGACCCAAUGUAAUCGAUUUAAUCCAAUUUAAUUCUUUUGUGAAAUUUCAAUUUUGUCCUUGGGAGUAGGGGUACUUUGAUCACUUGAAGAAAAAAAACAUUUAUUGUAUGGCAUUACAUAAUGGUGUAAGUUUGUGUUAGCUUAUGUGAGGCCCCAAUUUAAGGUUUGCACAAGACCUUCAAAAUCUCAAGACCGGCUCUGAUUAUGCCAAGCUUUAUUACAAACCAAUGUCCCACGUAUUCUUCAGGUUUAUUAUUUUGAGCAAAAGAAGUUGUGAUUGUCAUGCCUUGAGAUAAUUGUUUCUAGUAUUGAAGAAAUGGAGGAGAAGCCGGACCAAAAGGAAAACAGAAAAAAGAUGGGCUGCCAUGAAAACUUUGGAUAACACUUGAGAUUCAAUUAGCACCAACUUGUUGUAAAAGAAGAAUAAGUAAAGAAGAAUAGGUGAAGCCCACAUAGCCAACUAACAUCCACUAAACCUAACCACACACCCACCAAACUAAAUCACUACCCAAUUGAUUGAAGAAUAUUAAUGAUGUUGUUGAUUGAAGAAUAUUAAUGAUGUUGUUGAUUGAAGAAUAUUAAUGAUGUUGUCUACCACUUAUAUUGUGAGGUGAACAACCAAUGUCUUAGGCCUAUAAAUAGAUACUUCCAUCAAGAGAAGUUCACACAUAGAGAAGAGGAAGAGAAGGAAGAAUGAGGGUGAGUGAGUUGAGAGGAAAGAGAGCAAGAGAGAAAUUCUCCAAGAGAGAAAAUUGAGUGAGCCAUACAUAUUGUAAACACUAAAGUUGUAGCCCUAUUAUUUUACAUAGUGGAAAAGUUACUGCUGUUGCUCUUCGAGGACGUAGGCAUAGCCGAACCUCGUUAAAUACUAUGUCUCAUCUACUUUAUGUGCAACUCAAUAUUCACACAUAUCUCAGUUCAUUUUAUAACACAACUAUUAUUUAGCAGAUGAGGACGGGAAUCAUUUUGAGUUGGUAGCAUGUGGCGUGCGUGACAGCUUUGUAUUGCUAUUUAAACAAUCUUGAUUUAAAUAUUAUCUGUUGAAUAUUUCACUCAAUAAUGCGCCCCAUGCAAAGUUGCUUUCGCCAGCUUUAUUUAUAUUUUGUUGAUUGCCAGAUAAAGUGUCAGGCAAAUUGGCACUGUCACGUGGGGUCAAAGGCAAGAUGGGUGGUCUUCUGACUUGUUCGGCGUUGGCUUCUUUGAAGAGCCACUUAUCCUUUGGCUUUGAAAGGAGUAGCAGCUCAGCAAAAUAAAUAAAAAAAAGAAUUAAGAGAGAAAAUUGGAAGAAGUCAUUCAGAGAGAAGAAAAUUCUCUGAAAUUGUUCAUUUGCUUUGUUUUUUUUUUCUCUUAUUGUGUGUAAGCUUAGGUUAUUUGCGUCUUGGAAUGCUAGCAACCUUCUUUUUAAUAUUCUCUUUUGAAUUUUCUUUUUUCUUCUUAUGACAUGUAUCGAUUUCUUUACACUUAAAACAAUGUCAUUAAUGCAUCACACUAGCUACUUUUUGUUUUUCAAUUUUACCCUUAUUAAAUAUAUUAACAUUUUUAUUUUCUUCAUUUAUCUUUUUUUUUAAAGUAACUAUUAUACCACCUUGUUAAAAAAUUAAAUAAGAACAAAUGUCAGUUUUUUAUAUAUAUAAAAUAUAUGUUUUUCUUUUCAAAGAGAGAGCGUCUAUUUUUUAAACACAAAAGAAUUUAGAACACUAUUGAUUGAUAGUUAACCAUGUUCGAAGGAUGAUUCUUUUGCACUAAAGGCGGAAGCUGAACAUUUGAUGUUUACAUAGUCAUUGUCAAUGAUCAAUGGGAGUGGGGAAAUCAACUCUUUUUACUUUUUAUUGAUUGAACGGGUCAUGGCUUGAGAUAAUUGUUUGUAGUAUUGAAGAAAUGGGGGUGAACGUGAACCCGGAAGAAAAGAAAGAAAAGAUGGGCUGGUUUUGAAUGGGGCAUGAAAGGUUUUAAUUUUCAAUCGAGGAGUUGUAACUUGUAUUGUGGCCUCACAUCACAGCUCUCUAAUGCUAUUUAAACAAAAAGUAAUCUUCAUCCCAAAAAAAAAACAAAAAGUAAUCUAAUUUAAAGGGGAAUGCUAGCAACCUUCUCUCCAAUCUUUUCUUUUGGACCUUCUCAUUUUUUUACAUGACAUGUGUUACAUUCCUUACACUUAAAACAAUGUAAUGAAUGCAUAGAUUUUGUUUUUCUAGUUUACCCUUAUUAAAUAUAUAUUUUGUUUUCCCUUAUUUGGCUUCCAUGUUUCUUUCAAUUAAUCCAAAUUUUUGUUUACAGCUUUCUUAUCACCUUUUAAAAAAAUUAAAUAAAAAAAGGGUAAUGCCAUGGCCUUUUUCCAUAAUUAAAAACCAAUUAAUUAAUUAUUUAAAAUUAUUUAAAAAAACCUAAGUAUUUCUCUCUUCGUCUUCCUCUUCCACUUUAAACCCCCACCCCACCACCCCAAAACUAUUGUCGGAAAAGAAAAAAAACAGAGACACCCAUCUCAUGCGGCCAAAGCUACCAUAUAAUGAAGAAAAGAACAAAUCCAAAUCCUAAAUUUCAUAUCAUAAAAACAAAUUGCACCAAGUAAAUCAACUGUUACUAGGUGAGUGUGGAGAGGCAAAAGGACUAUUUUUUCAUCCAAAUUCCAAAGAUUAUUUGGAACAGUAAAAUUGGAUUUCAAUUGUAAAAAUAUUUGCUGAUACAUUCCUUCGAUAAAUAUUGGAAUUGAUUUCAGUAGUAAUAGAGAACCAAAAUGGGGCUGCACCUCCACUGCGUCGUGGAUGGGUAGGUUUGGGAUGAGACAGGUUGGAGAAGGGAAGAGGUGCAGUGGGUGUGUGUGGCUAAGGUGGUAAGAGGAUGGUUUGGUUUAGGGUGGGGUGGGAAGAAGGCGGUUGAUGAUUAAAGUGAGAGGGAGUUGAUGGGGAAGGAGGUAUACAGAGACUUAAUGUAUUAUGUGUAAUUAAAUAUAUUAUUAUUUUAUUAAUACAUUUAAUAAGGGUAAAUUUGGAAAAUAAAAACUAAAUUGUUUGGUUUAUUAAUGAUAUUGUUUUAAGGGUAAGUAAGUGACAUAUGUCAUGCUAAAAAAGGAAAAUGUCCAAAAGAUAAGAUUAGAGAGAAGGUUGCUAGCAUUUCCCAAUUCUAAAUAUAUAAUGUUCUCAAGCUUCUAACUUCCAUUUCUAUUUGGCAAUGGUAGACCCAACAAGCUCAGUUAAAGUAGUUGAAGUUUGCAAGGUGGCUCUUCCUCCUCCACCCUCACCUAGGUCAUUUGCAUCCCCAAGUUCCUUUCCUCUUACCUUCUUCAACAUCUGUUGGUUAAGGUUUGCGCCGGUCUAGUGCCUUUAUUUCCACGAAAUGCCUACUUCCUCUGCAAUACAACUCUUCUUUGAUACUAUACUGGCCCCAAAACUCAAAACCUCACUCUUUAACACCCUCCAACACUAUCUACCUCUAGCAGGACACCUCACUUGGCCUCAAAACUCCUAAAACCCGUUCUUAGUUAUGUCCAAGGCGACACCUUUUCGCUCACAAUAGCAGAGUCUAGUGUUGACUUCUACCAGAUUUCAGGUGAUGGCUUUAUUGAAGCUGUUGAACGGAAAAUUUUCACAAAAGCAAUUAACCAAGAAUUUGACUUGGGUUAGAAUUGAAUUUGUUUUGUUCCUGCAAUCUUAUCAGGAAAAACAUAUAAAAAUAAAAUAGAUGUAUUUCAGUGGUUUUGAAACACCAAGAGAUAAGUAUCUCGGUUGAGAAGUGGUCAUCAGCUUGAAUUCAAACUCGUCAUAAUAUAGCCUCUAUAAGAGGCAUGACGCCUAGGAACAAAGGGGGGCAGCCGGCAGGCUGCACAAGGAUAAAAAACGGUGGUGCAAGGCCACAAAAACAGGAGGCUGAAAAAGAGACUGGAAGGCCACAAAGGCAGGGGAAGAACAGCCGCUGGGAAGGGGAGGAGAGCAUACAAGAGCAAAUGAAUUUGCUGAUAGAUUUCUACCGAGAAUAACAAACACGAAGUUCUUCGUUCGUUGUUCUUAAAUGCAGCAGGACCGUGAGAUUUCUCUCACAAAUGCCUUGAGCAUCCAAACCCACAAAACAAAUCUUGGAUACAAAAUCCAUCAUGGGUGUGUAACCCUCAAUCAAACACUCUGUGACCGAUCCAAUCUGGGUACAAAACCCACAAACAAAACCAUGGGGGAAACUUAAUUUCACAGCAAAUAAAAAUGGAUUCUACCUCUGUCUUUGGAGAAUCUCAUCAAUUUUCUCCCUCUCUGUCAAAACAAAAGAAGGAGCACAGCCAUGGAAUCCUGAGUUAAACAGAACCAUUGGCUUCAGACCCAUUUGGAAAUGGGAAGUCAACAAACAAAAAGCUUGGAGGAGAGGCUUUACAUUUUGUAUAGCGACGAAGGUUUGUUACAGCAAAAAAAAAAGGAGAAACGAAACAGCAUUUGUGCAUACAGACACGAUGAACUAAAAAAAAAAAAGUUGUUGAAGACAGCCACGUUUUGGCAGCUUGGUGUUGUUGCACAUAGCAACAACAAACAAACAAAAUGAAAAAAAAGGAUAGCCACGUUUUGUUGGCAGCUUGGUGUUGUGCAGCAAACCAAAAACAAAGGAAAAAAAAACAAGUCAAAACCAAAGAAAGACGAAAGAGGGAUUGGCUUGGUGCUGCACAUGGCAACAACAAAUAAACGAAGAGGAAGACUCGCACCGAAAUAAGGGAAGAAAAGUCAAAUGGCGUCAGCCACUUUGUUUGAGAUUUCUUUUGAGUCUCCAAUUCCUGAGGUCCGUAAAUGAUGGAUUAUGGGCUUAAAUUCCAAAAAUGCCCAUUAAUUCUCAAAUCGUCAAGUGAAGACUCAAGUAGUACAAAACCACACCAGAUGUCAAGGGGUACAAAACCACUUCAAAAGCCACACUAAGAAAUGUGGGAAUCAACCAUUGUGGCAAAGAAGCUAUUCAGAAAAGAGUGCCAAGUGACUCAACCAUGCUGUGACGGUGACUCCAGUCCAAAUAAAUUAUUGGUCAUGCGCGGAGCAUUAAGCUCAACUCCCAAAAGAUUUUAAAGGAGCAUCAAUAUGGAUUAAUGGGUCUUGUUGAUCAAAAAAGCCCAUUAAUCUCAAAUCCUCCAAAUCAUGCAUGGAUACAAAUGCAAAUGUCAAUUGUAGAGAAUUAAUGGGAUAAUUAAAAUUACUCAUUAUUUUUCUUGGACAUGGACAACAACGAAAGUGGUACAAAACCAUCCAAUUUUUCAUGGGUCAUCUACCCAUGCAAAUUCCAAAUGAGAUUAAAUUCAAAUAUCUCAAACACAAAUUCUUAAUUAGUGGGCUACACUUACCCGUUAAUUUCCAAUUUUUCCCAUAGGUCAUCUACCUAUGAAAAUCUCCAAAUUGUCCCAAAGACACAAAUUCUCAAUUAGUGGGCCACACUUACCCGUUAAUUUCUAAAUUUGGAACUACGUCGGUUUGAUCCCGUCAAGGGUACGUAGGCAGUCUAACAUCCCAAUAGACGCAACCGCAAUCAAGUAUAAAUCUCUGGUUCAUCUUAACCAGAUUUCGCCAAAACACUUUCCCAAGUGCAAUUGUCAAUUUUUUUUGGGAAAAUUAAUGGGAUAAUCAAAAUUACUCAUUAUUUUUCUUGGACAUUGACAACCAGAAAAGUGGUACAAAACCAUUCAAUUUUUCAUGGGUCAUCUACCCAUGCAAAUUUCAAUGAGAUUAAAUUCAAAUCUCUCAAAUUCAAGUUCUCAAUUAGUGGGCUACACUUACCCAUUAAUUUCCAAUAUUUCCCAUGGGUCAUCUACCCAUGCAAAUUUCAUUGAGAUUAAUUCUAAAUCUCUCAAAUACAAAUUCUUAAUUAGUGGGCCACACUUAUCCAUUAAUUUCCAAUUUUUCUCAUAGGUCAUCUACCUAUGAAAACCCCCAAACGCAAUUGUCAAUGUUUAGGAAAAAUUAAUGGGAUAAUUAAAAUUACUCAUUAUUUUUCUUGGACAUUGACAACAACGAAAGUGGUACAAAACCAUCCAAUUUUCCAUGGGUCAUCUACCCAUGAAAACUCUAAUGAGAUUAAAUCCAAGUCUCUCAGACAGAAAUUCUCAAUUAGUGGGCCACACUUACCCGUUAAUUUUCAAAUUCCGAACUACGUUGGUUUGAUCCUUUUGAAAGGGUACGUAGGCAGUCUGGAGAUUCAAUCUAGAUGCAACCAUCCCAAAUGCAAUCCCAUAUCGAAUCCCUGGUUUAUGCAGCUAAAUUCACUCAAACACUUCUCAAUACAAUUCAAAUCAAAUUUCCCUCGCAAUGAGUCAUUUAUUCAUUGCGAUUCUUUAAACUACAAGUGGCUUGAUUCCCGCAAGGGAUACGUAGGCAUCCUGAGGUUGGACUUAGGAGCAGUUGCAAAAUCAAACACAAACGUUCUGUUUCUUUAUGAUGGAAUCAAAGGGUGUUCCCUUGAAGCAAGGGAUUGUAAUUAAGAGACUUGCGUCUCGAAUGGGUCGAACCUAAAAUAAUAAAACCCCGUUAUUUAAUUAGUGGUGGUGAAAUUAUAUUAGGAGGAUCACAUUUUCCUUCAACAUAAUUUUUGGCACGCCCGGUGGGAUCCAUUUACCUUUUCAUCUCCAAUCAUAAAGUGACUAAUGUUUUUAUUUUUGUGUAUGCCUCAGGUUAACAAAACCAUAUUCGAUGGCACCACAAGUUACAAUUUUCUUCCACAAGAUCGAAGCUACCUGGAAUGCGUGCACCAAACGAGUGGGGUUCAAAAAGACUUUCAUUGUUGGUGAGGGCCUCAUCAAGUGCGCCGUUCCAAAGCCCAUUCAGAGGGUCAAGCCUCAGGUCACUCCUAAGGUUGUCAAGACCCAAUUGAAGAAAGCACCUUCCAAGAACGCUCUCCGAAAUGCAAGAAAGAGGGCUGCGCGUGCUUUAAGAAAGAAAGAAGCAAAGAGGGAGUCUAUUGAGGCAGUUUUGGCCGAGCUUUCGGGGACAAGCCCAUUUGUGACUGAAGGCAAGAACACCUCGAGCACCCUGGCUGUGCCGACUUCCAAGAGGACAAAUCCUACCCAAUUGGUCCAAAUCAUGAUUGGAUCAAUCCCGGUCGACCUAUAUCCUACAGAUUCUGUUCUGAUGACUUCCACCAAUGAAACUAGUGAGGAAGGUCAAAAGGACGACUCUGUGGAGAACGCUGAGGUCCAAGGGGCCGAACCUCCGUCAAGUCCAAAAACCCAUGCUGUGGAAUCCGCAUCAGAAGAGGUUUACCCGUGCUCCUCUAAGGGUAAAAACAAAGCCAUCAUCAUGGAGAAGAAGGUGGUGAACAUACCUCAUCCACAAAGAAGGCAUGUGCAAAAGGUGACGACAACUGAUGCUUCAAGGGAUCAAAAUCCCGUAUCACGAGGGGCAGUCCCGAAAUCUCAAGAGCUGUCAAGGUCCUACAUGGGUCCAUUGACUCGUUCCAAAUCCCGAGACAUGAUGGGGAUGACUAUUCCCGAGUUAUCCGCUCCAAACUCAACCCGUUGGGACGAUUAUUUGCAAUGGAAUCCUCUUUAUGAUGAUCCCGUAUCUCAAAAUCAAGAGAAUGAUUGUGUAGUAUCCCAAGGGGUCAAACUUCAUGACGAGGUGGAAAGCAUGCAAGUCAUGAUGACUGGUACUUCUAAUACUGAGGACCAGUUGCCCUUAAUCCAAGAGAUGAUGCAAGACUUGCGAAGGGAAAUGCAGCAGAAGUUAGCAGAGAAAGACGCGAAAAUAGCGUUACUAUCAGCUAAGUUAAAAGGGAAAGCCGUCAUAAGAGAGCAAGACAGGGGCAAAACAAAUGAAUCGAUGACCCAUGAACAACAAACAAAAGAGGAAAAAGCAGAGAGCUCUACAAGCACAAUUUCCUCAAACGACAUAAAGGCAUUAAUUGCUGAGGGGAUUCGUGAGUUCCAAUUGUCCAUAGCACCUCCUGUUCAAGGGUAUCGAAAACCCUUCCCUUCUCACUAUGACGCCAUACCAUUCCCGAAGGGUUAUCAACGGCCCAUAUUUGAUAAAUUUGAUGGCAUAAAUAGCUCACCCCAUGAACAUCUGGCACAUUUUUACUCAGCAUGUGGCGAGACAUCUCAGUCAGACGCUCUCCUGGUGCGUCAAUUUGUCCAAUCCCUAAAAGGAUCAGCUUUCACUUGGUAUACACAGCUACCGCCAGGCUCUAUCUUGACGUGGGACGACAUGCAAAAGCAUUUUUGGCACAAUUUGUCAGUUCUAAAAAGAAGGUCUCGAUCAUGGACCUAGCUCAAACUACCCAAAAGCCAGGGGAAAGUGCUAAUGACUUUAUAAUGAGAUGGAGGAGUCUCAAUCUUCAAUGCCCGGAGAAAAUUACUGAGCAAUCAGCAGUGCAAAUGUGCUACAAUAACCUCAUGCCAGACAUUGCGACUUUUGUCGCCACUGCUGAACCCCAAUCAUUUGACGCUUUGGUGUCAAAGGCGAGCAAUGUUGAAAGAUAAAUUGCUCGCCAAAAGUCCGCGUCCCAAAAAAUUCAAUUUGGGGAAAAGAAAAAUGACAAGAAGUCCAUAAAAGGAGAGUCGUUGGCCACUUUCGUCAAAACUGAAAAGAAAAAUGACAAAGGCCAAAACAAGGACCCACCUAAAAGGCUCACUCUUAAAGAACGCAAAGAGGUCAAAUAUUCUUUUGAUGAUGAUGAUGUAGAAGAAAUCUUUGACCAACUUCUGGCCUCCAAUGCUAUUGCUCUCCCAGAAUCAAAACGUCCUGCUGAGGCCAACAAGACAAAUGACCCUAGGUAUUGUCGAUAUCAUCGCCUUGUCAGUCAUACGCUCAAGGAUUGUUAUAUCCUGAAGGACAAAAUCCAAGAGCUCCUCAACAAGGGCGGCUUGGAGAUAGACUCCUCUUCCCGACAUCAUUCAGCUACGGCAAAUAUGAUAGAAAAAAAGCUCACACCCAUCACUGCAUUACUAGAUGGAGCGAAAAUUGCAAGUAUUAAUACCGACAAUCGGGGUACAAUCGUACAUGCUUGUCCGAAGGCACCAUGGUCUAAUGAUCUUCAAAUCCCUACUCUUCAUGAGCUCAUGGCUGCACCCAGUCUAGAAAUAUGGGAAGAUUCUUCAACCGACGAAUUUGCUGAGGGGUGGACGACAUUUGUUAAAAGGGCCAAGCACAUGGCUAAAUAUCUCCCACCCAAUCAUAGAUUUACGACUCGUCCGGCUGUCAAGAUUCGAGGCAUGCCACCCUUGAAAAGUAAGAGGAGGAAGAAGAGAGUGCAAAAGAAAGUUCAAAUCACCCAAGAAGAUGAAUAUGAGCAACCCGCAAGGGUCCCUGUCACACUCACUGAGUUUUUGCCAGUUGAGUUUUUCUCGAGUGAAUCUGAAGUUGAGGAAGAAGUCAUUCAAUGCAACAUGGUUUCUUUGGAGGAAUAUGAGGUCGACACAGAAGUUGAUGAGAUUAAUCUCCGCUCCGGUCGAAGCAUCCCAUCUGCUGAUAAAGCACAACAAAAUGAGGAAGCUGAUCCCUCUAAAACCGAGAAGAAGCCAAAGGCAAAAGAGAUUAAGGUCUUCUUGUCAGAAAAAACUGUUGCAGGGGAAGUUCCACCUUCCUCUCCAAAAGCAAAGGAUUCUAAGCCCGAUACUAGUAAAGCAAAGGAGCCAUCACAAUCACAUAAAGUUAAGUACGAUAUUCUAGCUCAUCUUAAGCGCAUUCCCGCUCCUCUAAGUGUCUAUGACGCUUUACAAAUGUCGAGGGAACUUAGGGAGGCACUUGUAAUGGCUUUAAUGAACCCAGAUUUGUAUAAGUCAUGUUUCAAAUCAGCAGAGGUCCACACAACUGAAACCUCGAAGUUUUGUGCAUCAUGUCUGGCAGCAAUUACCUUUGGUGAAGAUGACUUUUUACUUGGGUCCAAAUUCCAUAAUCGACCUCUGUAUGUCACUGGCGAAGUUGGAGGCACAACCAUUAAUCGAAUCUUGUUAGAUUGUGGUUCGGCCGUGAAUAUUAUCCCAUUAAAGACGCUCCAUGCUAUAGGGAUGAGUGCCCGACAGUUGUCUCCCUCUAUGCUGACUAUUCAAGGGUUCAAUCAACUUGGGCAAAAGGCCAUGGGCUCUAUCGCAUUGCAAAUGGAAAUAGGAGACUUAUAUUCAGACGCCCUAUUCCAUGUGAUCGAGGCUGAUACUUCAUACAACGUCCUGUUAGGACGUCCAUGGCUCCAUACAUAUGGCGUAGUCCCUUCUACACUUCACCAGUGCUUUAAAUACUUGGUGGAUGGGGAAGUCAAGAGUGUUUCAGCUGACAUGGACCCGUUCAAAGGUGAAGAGGUAAAUUACUCUGAUGCGAAGUUUUACAGCCCACUUGGUCUCUCAUUUACACAGCCAUCAAAGGUUGAUAAGGAGAAAAGAGCGACUGUUGAAACAGGAAAAGCCCAAAAUGAUGAAGUAUCCAAACCUUCAAAAGUAAUCCAAGUGAAGCUAAAACCUCGUGGUGCGUCAUCCUCAAAAGUGGGAGAAGUCCCGACUGCAAAGGCUCCCAAGCCAAAGAUAAUUGUCAAGACUUCAAAAAAGGAGCCUAGUGAAAAGGAAACAAGCUCAUUGAAACAAACAAUGGAGUCACUGAUGACAGCAAGUUACACUCAUCCUCUUCGUAAGAUUAAUCAAUCUAUCCCAGGGGGCAGUUUGGUCAUUUCGACUACUUUUGGCAAAAACGAUGGCCCAAGUAAACGUGUAGUUUUUCACAAAAAGGCAUCAUUGUCAGAAACAACAUCUGCUCUAUUAAAGAUAGAACUUAAAGGCCGAAAAGCAAAGAAAAGCAAUGCUGUCCUCACAGUUCAAAAUGAGAGUGGUGGACUCAAAGUGUCUCUUCGAAGGCCACAUCUAGAAGCCGCCGAGCCUGAGAUACUCACUAAUAUGGAACAAGCUAUGUUUAGAGAAGAUGAGGUGAAUAUAAAGCCGAUUCGCAUCUCCGUGUUCAAACGCCUAGGGGGCAGACAACCACCCCGCAUCUCAGUCUUUCAACGCCUGGAGAACCCUUCCAGUUCUCAACAAGGGAAGGUCCAUAAUAAAAGGAAAUGGAAAGUUAAGAGUCAAGAGAAAGCGGUGAUCGAAAUGAUCAAAAGGGUGAAAAUAAAGGAUGACCUUGUCCAGGUCAAUUGCACCUCUUGCAAAGAAACAGUGGACCAAGAUGAUAGUCCUCAAGAUAUUGAGGAAUUCAUCGACAUAGUCCAACCAGCUCCACCACAAAUGGAGGAGGGAGGUCAAGCCACAAUUGAUGAUCUGCAAGAAAUUAAUCUCGGUACAGUUGACAACCCAAAGCCUAUCUUUGUCAGUGCUUUGUUAACACCGCAAGAGUUAGAAGAAUACACACAACUGUUGCAAGAGUACCGAGAUGUAUUUGCAUGGGGUUAUCAAGACAUGCCAGGUUUAGACCCAAACGUUGCAGUUCACAAACUUGGGAUACCUGAUGAGGCUCGAUGGGUGAAGCAAGCGCCACGCCGUUUUCGGCCAGAGCUAACAAUCCAAAUAGAAAUCGAGAUUGACAAGCUUAUUGCCGCGGGUUUUAUCAGAGAGGUCCAAUAUCCCACCUGGUUGUCCAAUAUCGUCCCGGUCCUCAAAAAAACUGGGGCACUACGUAUAUGUGUGGACUAUAGAGACGUCAAUGAUGCAUGCCCAAAAGAUGAGUUUCCACUCCCAAUUACAGAAUUAUUGGUAGACGCAACAACCGGUUUCGGUGCUCUAUCAUUUAUGGAUGGAUUCUCGGGUUACAACCAAAUAAAAAUGGCUCCAGAGGAUCAAGAGAAAAUUGCCUUCCGCACUCCAAAAGGAAUAUAUUGCUACACUGUGAUGCCUUUUGGGUUGAAAAAUGCAGGGGCGACUUACCAAAGAGCCAUGACGGUAAUUUUCAAUGACAUGCUUCACAAUACCAUUGAAUGCUACGUUGAUGAGUUGGUUGUCAAAACCAGAAAAAGAGAACAUCAUUUGAGGGACUUAAAACGAGUUUUUGAUAGACUUCGAAAGCACCAGUUGAAAAUGAACCCCUUAAAGUGUGCAUUUAGGGUAACUUCUGGUAGCUUCCUUGGCUUUAUCGUCCGACAUCGUGGAAUUGAAAUUGAUCCUUCAAAAAUCAAGGCAAUCCGUGAAAUGCCUCCCCCUCGAAAUUUAAGGGAGCUGCGAGGGCUGCAAGGAAGACUAGCUUACAUACGACGAUUCAUCUCAAAUCUCUCUGGAAGGUGUCAACCAUUCUCAAAGCUAAUGAAGAAGGAUGUUCCGUUUAUAUGGGAUCAAGCAUGCCAAAAUGCUUUGGAAAGCAUUAAACGAUACCUGUUAAAUCCGCCAGUUCUAAUGGCGCCAAUCAAAGGGAAACCUCUAAUCCUAUACAUUGCGGCAUUAGAACGCUCAUUAGGUGCAUUGCUCGCCCAACACAACGAGGAUGGAAAGGAAAAUGCAUUAUAUUACUUGAGUAGAACUCUCGUAGGGGCAGAAAAAAAUUAUACCCCGAUCGAAAAGGUCUGCCUCGCUUUGGUGUUCGCUGUACAGAAACUACGACACUACAUUCUCUCUCAUAGAGUCAUUUUGAUUUCCAAGGUAGAUCCACUCCGAUAUUUAAUGUCCAAGCCUGUGCUCUCUGGGCGAAUAGCCAAGUGGUCUCUCCUUCUCUUCGAGUUCGAAAUAAAGUUUGUGCCACAAAGGGCAAUCAAAGGGCAGGCUCUUGCUGAUUUCUUGGCUGCUCAUCCUACUCCCGACAACAUGGAGUUAUCUAAUGAUUUGCUUGACGAAGAGGUGUUCACGACAGAAGCACUUAUAUGGCAGUUAUAUUUUGAUGGGGCAGCAAGAGGAAAAGGAGCUGGGGCAGGAGUAGUAUUCAUCACGCCGUCUAGGGGCUUAAUCUCAUACUCAUUCUCUUUACUAGCUUUAUGUUCCAAUAAUGUGGCAGAAUACGAGGCACUCAUCAUUGGCCUUGAAAUUGCUCUCGAGAUGCAUAUUGAUUAUUUGCAAGCAUAUGGUGAUUCACAGUUAGUCGUUAGACAGUUGAAUGGCUAAUACGCAGUCAGAAAUACUACUCUCGUCCCAUACUAUGAAAGGGCAAAGUAUCUCAUGUCACAGUUUCAAGACAUCCAUGUUAGCCACAUCCCGAGGUCGGAAAAUGAUAAAGCUGAUGCACUAGCUAAUUUGGCUGCAUCGUUAACACUACCUGACGAAAGGGAUAUCCAAAUCACUGUUGGGGAACGUUACUUACUACUCCCAGCUAUAGAGAGAAUUGAAGAAGUUGUUGAUUCAAACGUCAUUACGGCUUCCGAAUGUGAGGGGGAACCAGAUGAUCUUGAUUGGCGCCAUCCCAUAAUCGAGUAUCUCCGACAAGGCAAGUUGCCAAAUGACUCAAGGAAAAAGGCUGAAGUCCGACGCAGAGUCACUCGAUUUCUGUACCUAAAUGACACCUUGUACAAAAGAUCAUUUGAUGGUAUGUUGUUAAGGUGUCUGUCGAAACAAGACUCAACUAGGGCCCUUCAUGAUACUCAUGCUGGCACUCGCGGUGCUCAUCAAGCUGGUCCAAAACUCCCAAACCAACUGAAGAGAUUGGGUUAUUACUGGCCAACAAUGGUCCAAGACUUAAUGAAAUUUGCAACCACAUGCAAAGAUUGCCAGUUACAUGGAGACUUUAUUCACCAGCCACCCCAACAAUUACAUCCGACUACUUUGUCUUGGCCAUUUGAAGCUUGGGGAUUAGAUGUUAUUGGCAUGAUAAAGCCUAAGUCAUCACGUCAACAUCAGUACAUCUUGGCCGCGACCGAUUACUUCUCUAAAUGGGCUGAAGCGAUUCCUUUAAAGGAGGUACGAGCAGAAGAUGUUACAAACUUCAUAAGGAAUCAUAUCAUCUACCGUUAUGGGGUUCCAUCGAAGAUAAUAUCCGACAAUGCAUUAUAUUUCAAGUGCAAGUCCAUGACCAAGUUGUGCGAGAAGUAUAGAUUUCAACACUCGUUUUCCGCGAGUUACAAUCCGUCGUCAAACGGUCAAGCUGAAGCUUUCAAUAAGGUACUGUGCAACAUCCUAAAGAAGACGGUCUCAGGAAAUAAAAGAGACUGGCAUGAGCGCCUCCCUGAAGCAUUAUGGGCUUAUAGGACGACCAUACGCAAUUCAACAGGAUGUACACCCUACAAUUUGGUGUUUGGCUCUGAGGCUAUUCUACCGUUAGAAGUCCAAUUGCCAUCGUUAAGGGUAGCUCUACAGCUGACAAACCCCGACGAAAACGCAUAUGUGAGACUGGCAGAGCUGGAAGCCCUCGAUGAGAAAAGACUGGCAGCUCAACAAAAGCUCGAAAUAUAUCAAGCCCAGGUUGCAGGGGCAUUCAAUAGAAAAGUUAAGUUCAGAUCUUUCUCAAUUGGAGAUUUGGUUUUAACUGUCCGAAGACCAUUUGUCAUUACCAGGAAAAUGCACGGUAAGUUUGAACCCAAGUGGGAGGGGCCCUACGUCAUUACUAAGGUUUUCUCCAGGGGUGCCUAUGAGUUGUCAAACGCCGAAGGCAAGUGCGUAUACUCUUGUGUGAAUGGGAAAUUCGUCAAGAAGUUUUAUGCCUGAUGGUGAGAAAAAAAGCUCGUUGGACUAAAAACCCAAAAGGGCGGUCCAAGCAAAAGUUAGAGCAACAAAAUAAUAAUAAUAAUAAUAAUAAUAAUAAUUAAUACAAGAAAAGUCAGGGGAUGCGCAGUUCAAAGGGAAAGCUAUCAAGCGUUGCACAUAAAAAGUCAUUUCAUGCACAACGCUUGAGAAGGCAUCUGUUGAACGGAAAAUUUUCACAAAAGCAAUUAACCAAGAAUUUGACUUGGGUUAGAAUUGAAUUUGUUUUGUCCCUGCAAUCUUAUCAGGAAAAACAUAUAAAAAUAAAAUAGAUGUAUUUCAGUGGUUUUGAAACACCAAGAAAUAAGUAUCUCGGUUGAGAAGUGGUCAUCAGCUUGAAUUCAAACUCGUCAUAAUAUAGCCUCUAUAAGAGGCAUGACGCCUAGGAACAAAGGGGGGCAGCCGGCAGGCUGCACAAGGAUAAAAAAACGGUGGUGCAAGGCCACAAAAACAGGAGGCUGAAAAAGAGACUGGAAGGCCACAAAGGCAGGGGAAGAACAGCCGCUGGGAAGGGGAGGAGAGCAUACAAGAGCAAAUGAAUUUGCUGAUAGAUUUCUACCGAGAAUAACAAACACGAAGUUCUUCGUUCGUUGUUCUUAAAUGCAGCAGGACCGUGAGAUUUCUCUCACAGAUGCCUUGAGCAUCCAAACCCACAAAACAAAUCUUGGAUACAAAAUCCAUCAUGGGUGUGUAACCCUCAAUCAAACACUCUGUGACCGAUCCAAUCUGGGUACAAAACCCACAAACAAAACCAUGGGGGAAACUUAAUUUCACAGCAAAUAAAAAUGGAUUCUACCUCUGCCUUUGGAGAAUCUCAUCAAUUUUCUCCCUCUCUGUCAAAACAAAAGAAGGAGCACAGCCAUGGAAUCCUGAGUUAAACAGAACCAUUGGCUUCAGACCCAUUUGGAAAUGGGAAGUCAGCAAACAAAAAGCUUGGAGGAGAGGCUUUACAUUUUGUAUAGCGACGAAGGUUUGUUACAGCAAAAAAAAAAAAGGAGAAACGAAACAGCAUUUGUGCAUACAGACACGAUGAACUAAAAAAAAAAAAGUUGUUGAAGACAGCCACGUUUUGGCAGCUUGGUGUUGUUGCACAUAGCAACAACAAACAAACAAAAUGAAAAAAAAAGGAUAGCCACGUUUUGUUGGCAGCUUGGUGUUGUGCAGCAAACCAAAAACAAAGGAAAAAAAAACAAGUCAAAACCAAAGAAAGACGAAAGAGGGAUUGGCUUGGUGCUGCACAUGGCAACAACAAAUAAACGAAGAGGAAGACUCGCACCGAAAUAAGGGAAGAAAAGUCAAAUGGCGUCAGCCACUUUGUUUGAGAUUUCUUUUGAGUCUCCAAUUCCUGAGGUCCGUAAAUGAUGGAUUAUGGGCUUAAAUUCCAAAAAUGCCCAUUAAUUCUCAAAUCGUCAAGUGAAGACUCAAGUAGUACAAAACCACACCAGAUGUCAAGGGGUACAAAACCACUUCAAAAGCCACACUAAGAAAUGUGGGAAUCAACCAUUGUGGCAAAGAAGCUAUUCAGAAAAGAGUGCCAAGUGACUCAACCAUGCUGUGACGGUGACUCCAGUCCAAAUAAAUUAUUGGUCAUGCGCGGAGCAUUAAGCUCAACUCCCAAAAGAUUUUAAAGGAGCAUCAAUAUGGAUUAAUGGGUCUUGUUGAUCAAAAAAGCCCAUUAAUCUCAAAUCCUCCAAAUCAUGCAUGGAUACAAAUGCAAAUGUCAAUUGUAGAGAAUUAAUGGGAUAAUUAAAAUUACUCAUUAUUUUUCUUGGACAUGGACAACAACGAAAGUGGUACAAAACCAUCCAAUUUUUCAUGGGUCAUCUACCCAUGCAAAUUCCAAAUGAGAUUAAAUUCAAAUAUCUCAAACACAAAUUCUUAAUUAGUGGGCUACACUUACCCGUUAAUUUCCAAUUUUUCCCAUAGGUCAUCUACCUAUGAAAAUCUCCAAAUUGUCCCAAAGACACAAAUUCUCAAUUAGUGGGCCACACUUACCCGUUAAUUUCUAAAUUUGGAACUACGUCGGUUUGAUCCCGUCAAGGGUACGUAGGCAGUCUAACAUCCCAAUAGACGCAACCGCAAUCAAGUAUAAAUCUCUGGUUCAUCUUAACCAGAUUUCGCCAAAACACUUUCCCAAGUGCAAUUGUCAAUUUUUUUUGGGAAAAUUAAUGGGAUAAUCAAAAUUACUCAUUAUUUUUCUUGGACAUUGACAACCAGAAAAGUGGUACAAAACCAUUCAAUUUUUCAUGGGUCAUCUACCCAUGCAAAUUUCAAUGAGAUUAAAUUCAAAUCUCUCAAAUUCAAGUUCUCAAUUAGUGGGCUACACUUACCCAUUAAUUUCCAAUAUUUCCCAUGGGUCAUCUACCCAUGCAAAUUUCAUUGAGAUUAAUUCUAAAUCUCUCAAAUACAAAUUCUUAAUUAGUGGGCCACACUUAUCCAUUAAUUUCCAAUUUUUCUCAUAGGUCAUCUACCUAUGAAAACCCCCAAACGCAAUUGUCAAUGUUUAGGAAAAAUUAAUGGGAUAAUUAAAAUUACUCAUUAUUUUUCUUGGACAUUGACAACAACGAAAGUGGUACAAAACCAUCCAAUUUUCCAUGGGUCAUCUACCCAUGAAAACUCUAAUGAGAUUAAAUCCAAGUCUCUCAGACAGAAAUUCUCAAUUAGUGGGCCACACUUACCCGUUAAUUUUCAAAUUCCGAACUACGUUGGUUUGAUCCUUUUGAAAGGGUACGUAGGCAGUCUGGAGAUUCAAUCUAGAUGCAACCAUCCCAAAUGCAAUCCCAUAUCGAAUCCCUGGUUUAUGCAGCUAAAUUCACUCAAACACUUCUCAAUACAAUUCAAAUCAAAUUUCCCUCGCAAUGAGUCAUUUAUUCAUUGCGAUUCUUUAAACUACAAGUGGCUUGAUUCCCGCAAGGGAUACGUAGGCAUCCUGAGGUUGGACUUAGGAGCAGUUGCAAAAUCAAACACAAACGUUCUGUUUCUUUAUGAUGGAAUCAAAGGGUGUUCCCUUGAAGCAAGGGAUUGUAAUUAAGAGACUUGCGUCUCGAAUGGGUCGAACCUAAAAUAAUAAAACCCCGUUAUUUAAUUAGUGGUGGUGAAAUUAUAUUAGGAGGAUCACAUUUUCCUUCAACAGAAGCCACGGAGUACCAUCCUCUUGUAUCCUAGUUGGAACCAUCUCAUGAACAAGCUGCAUUUAUGGCAUUGUAGAUCACGGUCUUUGUUGAGAUUUUUAUAUCAGGUUAUGAUUUUGGGAAGAAGAGGAAAAUAGGGGGGAAAAGAAAGGUUAAAGAGUUGAAAAGAAAACUUGAGAGGGGGGGGGGGGGGGGGAGAGAGAGAGUUUGUUAACCUGCACAAAACAUAGCUAUGCACGCUGAUUCAUUCUAACAAACACAUUCUCUUUUACAAGGCAGAGAAUGUUAUCUCAGCCAUACAAAAUGUGCCAGCAAUAUAAGCUUGACACUUGGCCUAAAUCUAAGACAUGAGUCAUACACCAUGAGAUCUAAUCUAAGCCUUACACUUGUCUAGCUAGAGAGUAAACCAGUAAAGAAUUUACAUUUCAACAUUCCCUUCUAAAUUGUGAACUGGUUUAACUCCUAGCAAUCCUCUCAAAUGGUUGAAUCGAUCCUUUGGUAGUGCCUUUGUGAAUAUAUCAGCUACCUGCUUCUCAGAUUUGUAGUAUCUCAAGUCUACAACUCCUUCUUGCAAAGCUUCACGAAUGAAGUGGUAUCUGUGAUUGAUAUGUUUAGUCUUUUGAUGAAAAAUUGGAUUCCUUGCCAUUGCAAUGGCAGAGAUAUUAUCUACCAUUAAUGGAGUUGCUUUUGUCUGCAAUUCUCCAAAGUCUUCAAGCACAAACCUCAACCAUAUAGCUUGAGUAGGAGCUUCACUUGCACUAACAUAUUCAGCUUCAGUCGUGGAGAGAGCAACACUGUGUUGCUUGACAGAUGCCCAAGAGAACACUUCACUUCCAAAUGAGAAAGCAUAUCUAGAAGUCCUCUUCAUGUCAUCUUGACUCCCACUCCAGUCACUAUCACAAUAUCCAAUUAACACAGCCUCUUUUCCCUUCUGAUAUUCAAUGACAUAAUCAAUAGUUCCUUGUAUGUACCUCAAUACCCUCUUAGCUGUUCCAUAAUGCUUCUUGGUAGGACAAUGCAUAAAUCUAACUAGUAAGCUAGCUACAAACAUUAUAUUUGGCCUUGUGGCUGUUAGGUACAGCAAGCUCCCCAUAAUCUGCUUGUAUUCAUUCUCAUCAGUAGGUUCACUGCCAUCAUCUUUGCAUAGUUUUUCACUUGCCACCAAGGGAAUGCUAAUAGACUUGCAUUGCUUUAAGCCAAACUUGCUUAACAGUGUCAAAGCAUAUUUCUUUUGACUUAUGAAAAUACUCUUUUCAGUUUGAAUCACAGCUAUACCAAGGAAAUGGUACAAAAGACCUCAGUCAGUCAUUUCAUACCUUCUCAUCAUCUUAGACUUAAACUCUGCAAUCAAUUCUUCACUGCUUCAUGUAUACACUAUAUCAUCAACAUAAAUCGAUACAAUGAAUGUUCCAGAGUUUUCCUUGGUCUUGCAGUAGAGAGUUGCUUCACUAGAGCUCCUUGUAUAACCGCAGUCAAUAAGAUACGAGUUUAUUUCCUCAUACCAUGCUUUUCGCGCCUGUUUUAGACCAUACAAAGCUUUCUUUAGUUUGUACACUUUGUCUUCAGAGUUCUUAAUCACAAAACCAUCUGGUUGGUCCACAUAUACUUCUUCCUUAAGUACACCAUUCAGAAAAGCAAACAUAUCCCAAAAAUCACGUUUGUCAUUUAUAAUUAGUCAUUUAUAAUGUUUGUCAUUGAAUAGAAAAAGAAAAAAAUGGCAAACAUAUCCCAAAAAUCACGUUGUUACAAACUAUUAUACAUUGUCGACCAAAGCAUUUGAUUGUGGAACUUUCAGUACCUUUAUAUACAUCACACACAACAGCAGAUCAAAGAGAGGUAGUGAUGGAUGAUGACAUUCAUUUGCUAAAUUUAUAAUGUAAGACACAAAAGGUUCAACUUGAGGGAGAGAACUUGAUCUACUUGCAGCUAGAAGGAUCAAUAAUGAUCCAAAAUGACAUUUCCCUCUAAAACAAGUACCUACGCAUUUCUACGGUUUCCAAUUGAAGCAUCCAAGGAAAAACUGGAUCAGUUUGCAAACAGAAAUCCUUGACUACUUCAACAUGCAACGAAAAAUCAAAUCAUUUGAAGCAUGCAAGGAAAAUCCAGAUCAGUUUGCAACACACAUCGUUUAGUACAUGAGUUAUAGGUAACAAUUUUUAUUUUUGUUCACCCUGUGUUAGAGGUAUAUUACAUACUCUUGUAGGUAUAUAUAGUAGAAAUCCUAUAGUAUAAGUAUAUAGUUCUAUUGCCUGUUGCAUAUGUAUAUAUAUGUUUUUUCAUAUUUUCGACAAUAUUUUUUUUUAUAGGUAACAUACAAUUUUCAUUUGUCUAUUUUUGUAUCUAACUUAUAGGUAGUCUUCUAAUUUAUGUUCCUAACUUAUAUGCAGUCUUUUAGUUUAGGUUCCUAACUUAUAAGUAACAUUAUUUAUCACUUAGUUUUUUCCGUUGCUAAUAAUAACACUAUUUAUUUGUAUGUCAGGUACAUAAUUUUAUGUGAGUGCUUGUUUAUAUGUCGAUUGAUAUAAUAUGUGGGUCUUUACUUUUCAGUGAUUAAAUUGUAUUUUAUCUAUAUAUUAGAUAAAUAUUAUGAAGAAAAAAAUUCAAAAUUUAUAUUAAGAAAUUCAAUCAUAAUAAAAUAAUGUAUUAAAUUUAAAUUUUAAUAAAAAUAAAAAACAUGCGGACUCAACACAAUAAUAGCUAAUCAUUUUAGAAUUGUUUUGGACAUAGAUCUAAAAAACCAUUAUAUUACUUCGCUUCCAUGAUCCAUCCCCAAUGGCAGACCUAAACUCAGUCAGAGUGAUUGAGGUUUGCAAGGUUGCUCCACAGCCAAGCUCACCAGAAGAUUACUCAGUCACACCUGACGCCCUUCCUCUAACCUUGUUUGAUUUACUCUGGCUCAGAUUUGCACCCGUCCAACGCCUUUUCUUCUAUCAAAUCUCAAACUCCUUUGAAACCACCACACUAGUUUCAAAACUCAAAGCCUCGCUCUCCAUCGCCCUCCAACACUUCCGACCUCUAGCAGGAAACAUCACUUGGCCCCAACACUCCCCAAAACCAGUUCUCACUUAUGUCCAAGGGGACGCCGUUUCGCUCACCAUUGCCGAGUCUCAUGCUGAUUUCCAUCACCUUUCAAAUCGUAGCAACUUU